CUGCAAUUCCAACUCUUGAGUAUUCAAUCAAAGAAGUUUGGUUGUUUUCCAGAAUUGGCUCUCUUAAAGGUCAAAAC
rnacentral:lncRNA from 1 species